CUACGGAGGGUGCGAGCGUUAAUCGGAAUUACUGGGCGUAAAGCGCGCGUAGGCGGUUUGUUAAGUCGGAUGUGAAAUCCCCGGGCUCAACCUGGGACCUGCAUCCGAUACUGGCAGGCUAGAGUCUGGUAGAGGGGGGUAGAAUUCCUGGUGUAGCGGUGAAAUGCGUAGAUAUCAGGAGGAGUACCAGUGGCGAAGGCGGCCCCCUGGACUGAGACUGACGCUGAGGUGCGAAAGCGUGGGGAGCAAACAGGAUUAGAAACCCUAGUAGUCC
rnacentral:rRNA from 1 species